CAGUGCAGGUUGUGAUGCUCCAGCACUACCGCAUUGAGGGGGAUGGAGGGAUAGCAGUUCCAUUCGGGCAGAUGGGACCUCAAGACCGCCAGUGACUCACCGACAGCAAGCGACAGAACGGGAUAAAAAUAAUGGAGCGAUAAGGUGCAGUUACUUCGGACCUUGACAAAAGACACAAGCAUAAGGAAGAGUGUCGACCUACAUACGAGAACUAAGGAGAGGAUUAAUCCCACUCAUCCUGAAGGUCUUGGGGUCACAACUCAACCGGACAUCUGAAUAUGAGCUGGACUUUUUUAAGAUUGAACACAGGUUUCAUUUUAACAUGAGAUAUGUUGCUUCUACAGUCUCUUUUGCUGCCCUCAGAUGUCUAUCUAUGCCCAGCGUGGACCUUGGCUGAGAUGCUUAGUCGGUUGACUAUCGGCUUUUAGCCUUUUCACUGAGAGGACGCUUUCUGGUGUCGCAGGUGUGAGACUGUACCUUUAGUGCGUGACGGGGAGUGUUGCUGAUUAGCCUUUGUGGGCCAUUCACACUACACUCCCCUCAAACUCCUGAAGUUCUCCUCCACCAAUGCUCCUCCCAGUGAUUAGGUUGUCCAUCUCUGCUGGGCAGCGGGGAUAUUACGCCAGAGAGGGUAUGUCUACAGGGGGUCCGGCUGCAGUGUUGACAUCCUUUGGUCUGCUAUCCAUGGUGUCUGUCCAUCACAACAGCUGACAGCACAGUUAGGCUACCAGUCUGCUUCGGCCUCACCUUCGAUAUCCACCUGGCUACAGACAACCGCACAUCCACACCAUGGUCUUCUAUGCAUGAUGCCUGUCCAUCACAAUGCAGUGUGGCUUCCAGUCUGCUUUCGACUCUCCACUGUCCUGCAGAGAAGUGAAUCCCAUCCACCAAAAGACUACUAUGCUGGAAAGUUCAACAUCAACAAGAGGUGACAGAACAGGCCUGGAUUUAAUCAAAGUGGCCAUGAUAAAUGCUAGAUCUCUAGCAAAUAACAUAUUUAUUCUGAAUGAUUUGUUCACCUCACCUAAACUUGAUAUGUUGUUUAUUAUGGCGACUUGGCUGAAUGUUGUUGAGUCUUGUUCUCUUAGCUCUUGCCACCACAUUGCACUUAGGCUACUUCAACUCCCCAAGGACAACUGGGUGAGGAGGGGGAGGAGUGCAAACUAUUUUCAAGAAAAGUUUUAAUUGUAUGCAAUUGUCAUCGAUGUUCAAUUCCAGUUUUAAACUGAAUGUUUGUGUUUGAUCGAGCUCACCCAUUGUUGUUUGCUGUGAUCUGCCAACCACCAAAAUAUAACAUACUUCAUUAUUGACUUUUCUGAUUUUUUAGCUGGAAUUAUGCCAAAAUAUGACAGGGUUUUAAUUGUAGGAGAGUUUAACAUGCUUGCUGUCCUUCUAAGCUGAUGGUUUUAAGAUGUUUGACACUAAUAGGAGAGUUUAAAGUGUAUUGACUUUUUUAAUGUUGUACAAUCUGUAGCGGGUGAAGGUCUUACACAUAAGCAUGGACAAACAUUAGAUUUUCUAUUAUCAUGUGGUCCUGAUAUACUUAAGGAUUGAUGUGUGCAAUGCAGUUUUCUCUUAUCACAUGUCUGUUUUAUUUGAGAUUGCCCUCCCUUGUUGUGUGAAACCAUGUGCUUUAACUUGUCAUUGACACACAUUUAAGCAGUCCUCUGCUACCCAAUUCUCAGAUGCUUUCCAACAUGCUAUUGAGACUCAUUGCCCGCCCCUGACUGUACUGAGGAAUUAACCUCACUUCUUUAUUCAACUUCCAAAAACAUCUUGGAUGCUGAAAACCAUGAGAACUAAUUCUAAUUCUGAACUGUGAUUAAAUGACAUUACUUGGAGUUGUGUGGCUAGGCGAGAAGGCUGAACACAAGUGGAAAAAAGACAAACUGCAAGUGUCUUAUGACACAGCUGGUGUCUAUAUAUAAAGAUCAUUUAAAAAAAACUGUUAUAAACCUCAUGUACUUUUUAGUUUUAUUAGGCCUAACUCUUUUAACCCCUUAAGACUGAAAUCCUAAUAUUAGGAAUAAUGCUGCUUAGAUAGAUAGCUUUUUGAGUCCAUAUGUCAUGAACACAUCUCCCCAUUAACCUCACAUCACUGGCUUCCUGUACAUUAUAGGAUUAACUUCAAGAUAUUUCUGUUAAUUUAUAAAUGUUUGGAAGGUCAAGACACCACCUAUCUCUUAGACCUGUUAAGGUAUACCCCAGCAAGACCAAUCAGAUUCUCUAAUCAAUUUAUUUUGACUGUCCCCAAAACCAAAAUAUUGACAUUGUGCUUUUUCAGCUUCUCCAAACUUUGGAAUAAUCUGCCCCUUCAGAUUGGCCCACUUUGACCAAUCUUAAAGGAAUUAUCCGGAGUAAAAUGCACUUUAGAUCAAUUUACGGAUG